ensembl:piRNA 21ur-12166 ncRNA
UGUUUAAAGUUGGUGUGGUCG